rnacentral:rRNA from 1 species
CCUGCUCAAUGUAAACUAAAUAGCCGCUCUAAGUGCUAAGGUAGCAUAAUAAAUUGCUCUAUAAUUAAGAGAUAGAAUGAAAGGUAAAACGAUUUAUUAAUUGUAUCAAGAUAUAACUUGAAACUAGCACUUCUGUUAUAACCCAAUUAUAAAAUAGAAGGACGACAAGACCCUACUGAACUUUACUUCUAGUUACACUGGGAAGGUUUAAAACCACAUCUUUUUAAUCCCCCAAAUCUACGCCCCCAUAGAAUAAAAACAAGUUACCAUAGGGAUAACAGCAUAAUAAUUUCCCAAAGCCCAUAUUAUAUAAAUUGAUUAUGACCUCGAUGUUGAAUUAACAUUACUAUUUAUAGAAACCUAUAAAAAAGAAAGUCUGUUCGACUUUUAAUUUGUUACAU